rnacentral:rRNA from 1 species
AGCGAACGCUGGCGGCGUGCCUAACACAUGCAAGUCGAACGAGAAAGGGAGCAAUCCCAAGUAAAGUGGCGUACGGGUGAGUAACACGUAGGUAAUCUACCCCAGAAUCUGGAAUAACCGGCCGAAAGGCUGGCUAAUACUGGAUAGAGCGACGGAAUCCGUAAUUGGGUUUUUCGGGAAAGGGAGCCUGUAAAAAGGCCUUCGUUCUGGGAUGAGCCUGCGUCCCAUCAGCUAGUUGGUGAGGUAAAAGCUUACCAAGGCAAUGACGGGUAGCUGGUCUGAGAGGACGAUCAGCCAAACUGGAACUGAAACACGGUCCAGACUCCUACGGGAGGCAGCAGUGGGGAAUCUUGCGCAAUGGACGAAAGUCUGACGCAGCAACGCCGCGUGAGUGAAGAAGGCCUUCGGGUUGUAAAGCUCUGUCGAGUGGGAAGAAAAUGCUUGGAGUUCACAGCUCCAGGAACUGACGGUACCAAUAAAGGAAGCACCGGCUAACUCCGUG